GAUGAACGCUGGCAGAAUGCUUAACACAUGCAAGUCGACUUGAAUUUGGGUUUUUUUACUUCGUUCUGGGUGGCGGACGGGUGAGUAACGCGUAAAGUACUUGCCUCACAGCUAGGGACAACAUUUGGAAACGAAUGCUAAUACCUGAUAUUAUGAUUAUAAGGCAUCUUAGAAUUAUGAAAGCUAUAUGCGCUGUGAGAGAGCUUUGCGUCUCAUUAGCUAGUUGGAGAGGUAACGGCUAACCAAGGCGAUGAUGGGUAGCCGGCCUGAGAGGGUGAACGGCCACUAGGGGACGGAGACACGGCCCGUACUCCUACGGGAGGCAGCAGUGGGGAAUAUUGGACAAUGGACCAAGAGUCUGAUCCAGCAAUUCUGUGUGCACGAUGACGUUUUUCGGAAUGUAAAGUGCUUUCAGUUGAGAAGAAAAAAAUGACGGUACCAACAGAAGAAGUGACGGCUAAAUACGUG
rnacentral:rRNA from 1 species